rfam:Oryza sativa Indica Group cultivar 93-11 Ctg050170, whole genome shotgun sequence.
UCCUCGGUGGUCGAGUGGAUAAGGCGCUGGUCAUGAAUACCAGAGGUGCUGGGUUCGAUUCCCGCCCGGGGAA